AAAAUGCGAUAAGUAAUGUGAAUUGCAGAAUUCAGUGAAUCAUCGAAUCUUUGAACGCACAUUGCGCCCGCCAGUACUCUGGCGGGCAUGCCUGUCUGAGCGUCAUUUCAACCCUCAGGGCCCCUCUCUCGGGGGGGUGCCCUGGCGUUGGGGAUCGGCCGCCCCCCGCGGCGCGCCGGCCCCGAAAUGCAGUGGCGGUCCGCCCCGCGACCCUCCGUGCAGUAGCGAUACCUCGCGGCUGGAUAGCAGGUCGGGCCACGCCUCGAAACCCCCAACUUCUUCAAGGUUGACCUCAGAUCAGGUAGGAAUACCCGCUGAACUUAA
rnacentral:misc_RNA from 1 species